rnacentral:rRNA from 1 species
GACGAACGCUGGCGGCGUGCUUAACACAUGCAAGUCGAGCGGUAAGGCCCUUCGGGUACGACGAGCGGCGAACGGGUGAGUAACACGUGGGUGACCUGCCUUUAGCUCUGGGAUAAGCCUGGGAAACUGGGUCUAAUACCGGAUAUGACCUCAUGACGCAUGUUGUGGGGUGGAAAGCCUUGUGCGGCUAGAGAUGGGCCCGCGGCCUAUCAGCUUGUUGGUGGGGUGAGGCCUACCAAGGCGACGACGGGUAGCCGGCCUGAGAGGGCGACCGGCCACACUGGGACUGAGACACGGCCCAGACUCCUACGGGAGGCAGCAGUGGGGAAUCUUGCGCAAUGGGCGAAAGCCUGACGCAGCGACGCCGCGUGAGGGAUGACGGCCU